GACGAACGCUGGCGGCGUGCCUAAUACAUGCAAGUAGAACGCUGAAGGAGGAGCUUGCUCUUCUGGAUGAGUUGCGAACGGGUGAGUAACGCGUAGGUAACCUGCCUGGUAGCGGGGGAUAACUAUUGGAAACGAUAGCUAAUACCGCAUAACAGUAGAUGUUGCAUGACAUUUGCUUAAAAGGUGCAAUUGCACCACUACCAGAUGGACCUGCGUUGUAUUAGCUAGUUGGUGGGGUAACGGCUCACCAAGGCGACGAUACAUAGCCGACCUGAGAGGGUGAUCGACCACACUGGGACUGAGACACGGCCCAGACUCCUACGGGAGGCAGCAGUAGGGAAUCUUCGGCAAUGGACGGAAGUCUGACCGAGCAACGCCGCGUGAGUGAAGAAGGUUUUCGGAUCGUAAAGCUCUGUUGUAAGAGAAGAACGAGUGUGAGAGUGGAAAGUUCACACUGUGACGGUAUCUUACCAGAAAGGGACGGCUAACUACGUG
rnacentral:rRNA from 1 species